CCUACGGGUGGCAGCAGUGAGGAAUAUUGGUCAAUGGACGAGAGUCUGAACCAGCCAAGUAGCGUGAAGGAUGACUGCCCUAUGGGUUGUAAACUUCUUUUAUAUGGGAAUAAAAUGUUCCACGUGUGGGAGUUUGUAUGUACCAUAUGAAUAAGGAUCGGCUAACUCCGUGCCAGCAGCCGCGGUAAUACGGAGGAUACGAGCGUUAUCCGGAUUUAUUGGGUUUAAAGGGAGCGUAGGUGGAUUGUUAAGUCAGUUGUGAAAGUUUGCGGCUCAACCGUAGAAUUGCAGUUGAAACUGGCAGUCUUGAGUACAGUAGAGGUGGGCGGAAGUCGUGGUGUAGCGGUGAAAUGCUUAGAUAUCACGAAGAACUCCGAUUGCGAAGGCAGCUCACUGGACUGCAACUGACACUGAGGCUCGAAAGUGUGGGUAUCAAACAGGAUUAGAUACCCUAGUAGUC
rnacentral:rRNA from 1 species